UUCUUCGUCACAAGAGACUUGCGAGUCAGAUCAGAAAAAUCUCUCGUGAAACCCUUGAAAUCGAUACAGAACCAGAAAUCGAAAGAGAGAAACAGACAGAGAAAUCGAAAGAGAAUGGCGUGGCGUUCAGCAGGAUCUCUAUCAAGGUCAUUACUAUCAACAGCAAGCGCUUCAUCAGUUCGAUCUUCACCAACAAUUCCUCGGGUUCGUCCAUCACCAUUCACAUCUUCCCCUCGCAGUCGCACCUUCUCCUUCACUAAUCCAAGGACAAUGGGUGAACUAGGUUGCGCACAAUCAUUACUACCGCUUCACAACAUGGUUGCAGCAACUCGACUUACAUCACAUCUGUCGUUGAACGCUCGAGCUUUCACCGAGCUCUCUCAGGGAAAUGGAAAAGAUGGGUGAUACAAGACAUCAAAUGCUGCAACAGUGGAUUAAGGAUGCUGCCGUAAUGUAGAGUACAUGAAUGGGGAUCGUUUUGUUGGCACAGCAGUGCAAAUGAUAUGAGGGUUUAGAGAUAGAUGUAUGGAUCUUCUGCAGACAGUUUGAUUCAUUGGAGUACGAUGGAACCAGUAACAUAAGCAAUGAGAGUUUUACCGUGUUUUUUUGUUUUUCCAUUUGUUGAGAAAACGUUUUGAACUACUCUUUUUUCUUUUUUUUUUUUUUGGAGAAUUCGUCGUUUGAUAUUUGGUCAGUUGUAGGUUUGAAACUCUUAAUGCUUUAGACUUCGAAGCAUUUUAGUUUUUUGGAAGUUAAAUCUUCAAAUAUAUUCAUUCCUGGCAGAACUCUUAUAAUAGUGUUUCAACUUUCAACUAAGAACACAUGAAAGUGAUGCCCAUUGCUAUGUGCACCAGUUAAAUAAACAUGUGUGAACA